rnacentral:rRNA from 1 species
AGAGUUUGAUCCUGGCUCAGAUUGAACGCUGGCGGCAGGCCUAACACAUGCAAGUCGAGCGCCCCGCAAGGGGAGCGGCGGACGGGUGAGUAACGCGUGGGAACGUACCCUUUGCUACGGAAUAGCCUCGGGAAACUGGGAGUAAUACCGUAUGUGCCCUUCGGGGGAAAGAUUUAUCGGCAAAGGAUCGGCCCGCGUUGGAUUAGGUAGUUGGUGGGGUAAUGGCCUACCAAGCCGACGAUCCAUAGCUGGUUUGAGAGGAUGAUCAGCCACACUGGGACUGAGACACGGCCCAGACUCCUACGGGAGGCAGCAGUGGGGAAUCUUAGACAAUGGGCGCAAGCCUGAUCUAGCCAUGCCGCGUGAGCGAUGAAGGCCUUAGGGUUGUAAACUUCUUUUACCUGGGAAGAAAACUACGAUUUCUAUCGUAGCCGACGGUACCAGAGGAAUAAGCACCGGCUAACUCCGUG